GCGCCGGUCUGGUAAAAUAAAAUGGCGUCGUUUAUUCUAGGGGUUAUUCCGAUCUCUCAAAACUCCUCUCUCUCUCUCUCUCUAGCCUCCUGUCACUCUUCCUCUGCCGAUUGAAGCUCUGUUCCUCGUGGUCGUCGUCUUGAUACUUUUUCACUCGUCGUCGACUUCGAAAAAGCUCCGUUGCCUCGUGGCCGUCGUCUUCAUCACUCUGUGUCGCUCUGUCGUCGACGUCAAGAACCCCCAAGAUUUGUUCUCUGUAUUUUAUUUCGAUUUGGGUCUGCUUUGUUCCCUGUGCUGCCUACUUUUUUGUUCUUAAAUUUCAAUUUCUUUCCUAAACAGAUUAUAUGUUUUCUGUACUUAUGGGUUCCUAAAAAAAAAUAUUCCGUUUGUUUGAAAAUUUUUCCAAUUUUAAGUAACAAUAUUUUGGUGUAAUAUUUAUGCUUUCUUUCCCUAUGUAUAAACCAUGACUUAUUUUGGGCAGCUUGUAUAGUUACAAGUUAAUUUUAUAUUAGGCAAAUUUCUUUCCCA